UGAGUAAUGCUUAGGAAUCUGCCCAGUAGUGGGGGACAACAGUCGGAAACGGCUGCUAAUACCGCAUACGCCCUACGGGGGACAGCGGGGGAUCUUCGGACCUUGCGCUAUUGGAUGAGCCUAAGUCGGAUUAGCUAGUUGGUGGGCUAAAGGCCUACCUAGGCGACGAUCCGUAGCUGGUCUGAGAGGAUGAUCAGCCACAUCGGGACUGAGACACGGCCCGAACUCCUACGGGAGUCAGCAGUGGGGAAUAUUGGACAAUGGGGGCAACCCUGAUCCAGCCAUGCCGCGUGUGUGAAGAAGGCUUUCGGGUUGUAAAGCACUUUCAGCGAGGAGGAACGCCUGGUGGUUAAUACCCACCAGGAAAGACAUCACUCGCAGAAGAAGACCGGCUAACUCCGUGCCAGCAGCCGCGGUAAUACGGAGGGUGCAAGCGUUAAUCGGAAUUACUGGGCGUAAAGCGCGCGUAGGUGGUUUGGUAAGCGAGAUGUGAAAGCCCCGGGCUUAACCUGGGAACGGCAUUUCGAACUGUCAGACUAGAGUGUGGUAGAGGGUAGUGGAUUUCCU
rnacentral:rRNA from 1 species